CCUGUCGGCCAUGUGCAGCAGUGAUGUCGUGUGUCGGCCGCUCUCCUCACCUGCAGGAAACACAACAACCAGAGACCAGAGGAGAUGAGGAGAUUCAGUCGAGGAGACAGAGACUUCAUGACCAGGAUGACUCCGCCUCUCCAGCUCACCUGUCUGACUGUCACACCUGACGUCACAUGACUGUAUGUGUUGUCAUGUGACCUCAUGUGACCUGUACCUGACGUACCUGGCUAAGGUUAACCCUAGCUCAUGUGAUCUGAGGUCACCUGACUCCCUCACAGGAUGUGGUUUAGGGUGUUGAUCUCCACGUCACCACCAGGUGGAACCAUUUCAUGUGUUUUAAUGAUGUAAAUAAAGUUUCACGUGUU